UACGGAGGGGCUAGCGUUGUUCGGAAUUACUGGGCGUAAAGCGCACGUAGGCGGAUUGUUAAGUCGGGGUGAAAUCCUGGAGCUCAACUCCAGAACUGCCUUCGAUACUGGCGAUCUCGAGUUCGGGAGAGGUGAGUGGAACUGCGAGUGUAGAGGUGAAAUUCGUAGAUAUUCGCAAGAACACCAGUGGCGAAGGCGGACUCACUGGCCCGAUACUGACGCUGAGGUGCGAAAGCGUGGGAGCA
rnacentral:rRNA from 1 species